UUAUCCAGCACAAAACGCCCCAACUAGCCCAGCCAACCGGUUCGACCCGCCCCACUUUCCCCAAAUAUAAGAUACAUAUUAUAAACAAAGACCCAACCCUAAUUUUUGCUCCCAAAUGGUGCCCAGCAUUGUUCAUCACCUCCUUUACCCCCAAUCGAUCCCAACUCUCCUGAAACUCAGGAGAAUUCACUCACACACGGGCCCCAUCUCACCACGUCACCAAGAUUCUAACUGCUUCUGACAAAUUUCCUCUCCUAUGUGCUAGACGCGUUUGGGAAUUUCUGAAGGAUGAAUUCCAUAAAAUGGGAGUCGUGGAUUGAUUUUGGGAUCAAUCAUUUCCUUCCACCUGUCCGGAUUCGUUCUAAAAAGGAUUUUUUUCGGAGUUCUUGAAGAAAAGAAGAGAAACUUCGAGAGAGGGGUAUAUAUACCUAGGUCUGGUUUCAAGUUGAGGGGGUGGGAUUUUUUAAGGCAGAGGUCAUUUGAGAAAAUUAGGGUUCUAGACAAAGUUUCUCUUCUUCUCUUUUGUUCAUCUGCAUUUUUCUUUGUUUAAUUCCACUCACAAUGCAAAAAAUACAAAAAACAAUUGUUUCAUUUAGUUUGAUAUUAGCAUCUUUGUUCUCUUCAUCUUUAAAUUCAGAAAUUUCACGUUUAUUAUGGGUUUGGACUGAGUUCGAGAGCCGAGGUUUGUUCGAAGGUCAUGAUUUGCGAUUCCGAGAUUAAUUUGUUGUUUUUGUACGUAUCAAUUUUUAGCAGAUUGAAGAAAGAUCAUUACAGGUUCGUUUCUUUCCUUCGCUACUUUUCUGGUGUGCAAAAUAUGAUGAAAGCUUAUAAAUAAAUGUUUGAGUUUGAGAUUUAAUAGACGCAUUUAUUUUCGAGUCUCGAAUGGUGUCGACUCUGGAUUUUGAUCGAGCUCUGUUUCAUCUUUGUGCUUAAAGCAUUUUUUGAGUUUGGAUUUACUUAUUUUGAAUGUGUUCAAUUAAAUUCCAGCUUGAUUUUUGAUUCCAUAAGUCUCUUAGAGUAAUCUUAGUGUCAUUUUUAGGCUUAAACUUACUCAAAACAUGCUUACUUCAAGUUUGAGGUCAUUGUAUGAAGGUUCAGUGAUUACUCGUUAUGGUCUCAUGAACAUCUCUGUGUGUUUGGUUAAAUUUGAGCUUUAAAAAUGAAAUCGGAAAUCAUCUUUUGAGUUCCUUGUUUAUUUCUAUAUGAACUAGCAUCGAGUCUUAUCUUCGAGUAUAUAUUAGUGUCAAGUUGUUCUUUACCUCACAUGUUCAGGAACAAGUUUUUGGGGAAUCCUUUUCUUGUUGGGGUUUGAAUUUGAAAUGAGUGCUGAAAUCAUCUUUGGUUCUUCUUUGAAAUGCUGGGAAUUUGAAAUCAUCCGAGGUUUGAAUUUGAAAUGCUGGGAAUCCUUUCUUUCUUCUUUUUUCUUCUAUUUUGUUUUUUCUGUUAAGAUAUGCUAGUAAUUUAACUAAAAAUUAGUUUGAAUUCGUGUCAGUUUCAUGCUAGGUCUGUUCAUUUCUUAAUGAUUCGAGUCUGAAACUAUCCUAAUUCAUCUAUCGAUUAAAAUCUAUUUGUGCUUAUUUGACAUGGUUUGAAUUGUUUGUGACUUUCAUCCUUAAGGAUUUCAAAAGGAUAAGCUAAGGUGUUCCAGUAGUCUAUCCUCCUUCAUUUAAUUAGUCUUUUAAAGUCAGUUGUUGGCAAGACAUAACUAGUAUUUGGAAACUAGAUCAUGUUCAUGUUUGAGUCCCUGCGGGUUAGGUUCAUGUUUUGAUUUCCAAACUUCUGUUAAUUGUCAUGUUUAGAAUUAACUGUUGCUAGAAUUAUUUGGAAGAUCGAUGUUGUAGUUGAAUGGAAAAUGAGUAUCUGUUGUUGGAUUGAGUUGGUUGAAGUUAAGUCAUAAUUGGUCUGAUUGCCUAAGUCUACUGGUGUUUCGAUCCUCUCUGUCAUACCCUUGCACUAAUUUAUACCAGUUUUUAUCUACAAAUGAAAGAUAAUUUUAAGAAGUCAUGUACUUGAUGCAUAUUUGAUCUUUCCAGUUGUGUGGUCGAAUUUAAGUGCCAAUUGAAUUCUAAAAUUGUUCUUUAGUAUUCAUUGAUUGUUGUCAAUCUGUUCGGUUCGUUUUGGCAGUUAGAAUUGUUACAAUCCCUUGUUAAGCUUUAAUUGGCUCGUACUUUAAAAUAGUUAGUCAAGCAAACCAUAUAUUCUGGCUAGUUUGUCUCAAAAAAUUAUUUGGUAUUCUUGGGUAAUGCUAGGGUUGCCGAGAAACUUGCCUCAUUAAAUUGGAAUGCACAUGAACUUGGUUUAAUUUUGAAAUCUUUCUCAAUUUGGAGAAUGUGUCUUUGCUAAGAAUAACUUUGUGUUGAUUGAUUCAAUGACUUGUUAUAAGGAUUGACUCAUUUCUUCAUAUUUCCAUCUUAAUUGAGUUUGGUACAGAGGCAUACGGUUGAACAUAUGGUUCCAUUAUUAUAGUUUCAUUCAUUUGCUUAAUCUGUUAGCGCUAAAGAAACUACAGAUUGUGCUCUUUUUUUGUUGGCAUGCUUGUGAUUUAAAAUGUUGGGUGUGGUGUUUAGUGUAAAAUGAUUGUUUAGUUUGUUGAUUCAGUUAAUUCUUGGCAGCAGAAUGUAGGACGCUUGAGGAAAAGAACCAAAUCUGAGGCUGAUUACAUAAUAUGUCCUUAAAUAUAGAAACAGGUUGAGAUUUUUUGACUGUCUGAAACUUUCGCAAUCAACUUGUGAUGAAUGAAUGGUGAAAAAUAAACUAUCGUGGUUGUGUACACGUUCGCGUGACAUAAUUACGAUCUUAAAAAUAAAAUCGGAGUAUGCGUUCAUGCAACUUCAACCGAAAUUUCUUAAUAAUAACAUAACGUUAUUAAUUGUGGACACGUUCGCGUGACUUGAUUUUUGAUGCGCCAAACAAAUGGGUACACGUACGCGUGACUCGUUUUUUUAGGAUAAUUUCUUAAUGAAAAGAGGUGAAAGCACAUAGGUUCUAAAAAGGGUAAUUAGACAAUUUGAUUAAGCCAAGUAUGAUCAAAGCGACCGUGCUAGAACUAAGAAGCCCAAAAAUGCCUAACACCUUCUCUCGGGUUAACAUAAUUACUUACACGGAUUUCUGUGUUCGCGGACCAUAAAUAAGAGUCAACUUCCUCGAUUCGGAAUUUUAUAUCGGUGACUUAGGACACCAUAAAUUAUCCCAAGUGGUGACUCGGGACACCAUAAAUUAUCCCAAGUGGUGACUCGGGACACCAUAAAUUAUCCCAAGUGGUGACUCUGAUUUUAAUAUAAAUAAUCCCGUUUUGAUUUUCACUUAAAUUGGAAAAAACUCCAUUAUACCCCUUUUCGGGGGUAGUAAAAAGGAGGUGUGACAGCUCUAGCAACUCCGGUGGGGAUAAGAACCCAGAAUCUCUGGUUCGGGGUUCAAUAAUUCGAGAUUUUUAAUAUGAUUUUAUUUGGAUUUAUUUAUAGUUAAUAUUACUGUAUUUUGUGAACAUUUUGUGCUAAUUGUUGUCUAUUUACCGUUUUGAUAUUAUUUGAAUUAUAUAUAACUGUCUUCUUACGCCACCCCUCCGAGUCUUCUGAAAAUGGUGAACACAUUCGCAUUGCCCACUUUUUCUAUAGAAAUUAUACCAAAUAGAACGAGGUUGGGCCAUCAACAAGGCCGGGUAGACUUUAGUGCUCCCGGUAUGUUGUCCCCUCUUCUGCUCGAGUUGUCCGCUCGGGUAAGCCAGGUCAAGAACACAACCCUAGGUUUAAACUUAGAAUAACACAGCCUCAUGUCGGAUCCCUAGUAGGAACGUUUGUUUGCAUCACGUGCAUUUGAUUUUGGGGACUCAACACAGGGAUUGGGCCCAUCUAGGACAGGUGUACACAAAAUAACAGACCAUCCUGAUGCAUCCUACGUGCUAUGUGAACAUUUAUUUGUUUUGGCUUGCAUGUUGACCGGCUAGGAAAAGUGAAUCAAGAGAAAAACCAAGAACGAUAUAGGAAAAAAUAAUGCCCGGCUCUAAAAAUCCCCGGUAAUUGGAAAUAUCCUGAAACUCUGCCAAAAUUUUCAAAAAAAGAGUCAAGGAAAAAGAGUCUUUUCAAAAUGAGUCAAUAAUAUGUCUCUUUCAAAUAUGUCAAAAUUGAUCGAACUACGCAGGUCUGAUUCUCACCGGAUGUGGGAUACAUAGGCAACCUACAUAAGGUUCAGCCUUACUUUUCAAAAAAGAAAAGAAAAAGAAGAAGAAGAGUAAAUAGUCAAAUAGAUGUAGUUUGGGUUCUGGUCAAAAGAGUAAGCCGACCCAGCUUCGGUUAUGUCUUAAGUCGUUCUUGUUGGGAUAGCCUUAGAGUAUCUUUCAGUUGUCGAAUAGCUAUUUUUCGUAAAGAACAGAUAAGUCUGUCGGUAAAGUGUCAUUUUUCCAUAAAGUACUUUUCCCCGUCCUCAAAAUUUAUUUGGAAUUGUGAAGGGGCCACGUUUGCAAAAAACGAUCACUUUUGCUAAAAGUAGCAUAGAGGGGAGGGGGUCAUGGUCCGUUGAUUUUUCUUUUAGAAAUUGAAAAACCUGUAUUACAAAAAGUCCACCAGAGUCAAACCUAACCUUAACCUUCCACAGGUACAAAUGAACAUUGUCCAAAAUUCGUCAGAGUUGGUCAUAGACCAGGCUCAGCUGCAGCUGCAUAUGUGGUGGAAUGAUCUAGAUGAAUAUGGUCGGGAUUGGGUAAAAGAGCAGUUGGGUGCCCUUAUAGACAUUCUGGAAGUCGAACCACGGAAAGAUCUAAUCAAGGCUUUGGUAACUUUUUGGGACCCCGUCCACAAUGUUUUUCGUUUCUUGGAUUUUGAGAUCACCUCUACUCUGGAGGAAAUGGCCGGGUAUAUUGAGUUUGGUCGGAACUUGAGGAAACAACAACUUAUAUUCCCAAGGGCUCCUUCUGUGCACAAGUUCUUUGACCUUCUGAAUAUCAGUAAGCAAAUGAAGAAGGCCCAUGUAAACAAAGGAUGUUGUUCUUUCUACUUCUUCUACUUCAGGUUUGGGUACUCAGUUGGGUUCGAAACGCAUGAAAAGGUUUUGAACAACAAACAAGAUAAGGGCAUCUGGCAAAUUCAUCGUCGGUUCGCUUUCAUUGUGGCGUUUUGGGGAUUAUGGUCUUUCUAAAUGUAAAAGGGACAACAGAUAUCCGUAUGGCCAUAAUUGCACAAAUCCUCACUACUAAGAAAGAUCAUACACUUGCUCUAUUAGUGCUAGCAGAUAUUUAUCGAGCAUUGACAUUAUGCAAGGUCGGGGCUCAAUUGUUUGAAGGUUGCAAUAUUAUUCUACAAAUAUGGUUGAUCGAGCAUCUCCGCCAUCACUCCAAAUUCAUGAGCUAUGGUUCAAGCACAGAUAAUUUCAUCAAGAGCUACGAGGAAAGGGUGAAAGACUACAAUGCUCCAGAAGGGUUUGAAGCCUAGGUCUCCCACUUGAAGGCUCUAAAAGCAAGUCAGGUCGAGUGGACUAUAGGAUGGCUCCCGAUGACAGAAGCCAUACACAUGACGGCUACCAAGGGUUAACUAACGUUGAUGGUUUAAGGUGUGUCCAGCCAUAUGCACCGCAGAGGGUCUUAAGGCAGUUAGGAAGAUAUUAGGUGGUGCUCGAAGAUGAAGAUCUAACCACCCAGGUCAUUGAGCUACACCCAGAAGCUACAUUGCCCAAGACUUUAGUUCAACAGGAUUGGAAUGGUUGCCGGUAUCUGAAAAAUAGCACCUAGGUACCAGAUGUCGCAAAGGGGGAAGUGGAUCCAUAUUACACUGCAUGGUUUGAGAAAAGGUCUUGAGCAAGAGCCCGAGCCUAAGCCCGAAAGACCUGCCAAGAGACCUCAUGUUCAAGCUUUUGAUGAUAAAGUCCAAUAAAGGUUGGCCUGGGGAUAAAAGGAGAAAAAAUAUCAAGCCACCAUUCACACCUUGGAAGAGAAAUUGAGAAACAUGGAAUUCAAUAAUGAUCUCCAGGCACAAGAAGCGGAAGGUGAAAGGAGGAGGUUGGCCAAAGAAAACAAAGCCCUUCGAGCCCAAAUCUGAAAAAUGAAAAUAGCAGCUGAGAACCCUGUCAGGAAUGAAAAGGAUAAGAAACUUAUAGAAAAGUUCAGGCUGAAAGCAGGUGGUUACGGUUUUGAGUUAGAGAAAACUGAAGCUGAACUAGCAAAGGCCCGAGCCAAGUUAGCUAAGAAUGCGGAGGGACGGGCAAGUUACAUUCGACAACUGAUGGAGAAGUACGACAAAGGAAUGGUGGGUCUAAAGAAAAGGUCAAUGUCCUUGAGAACGAAAUGACUAAGCAGGCAAAAGACUUCAAAGCAAAAAGGGAGCACUGCUAUGCCCUGAUGUCGCAAUUAGAAAAAGACCUGCAGUAGCUUCAAGAGCAAAAUCAUACAGCCGAACAAGUUUUGGGGGCAAGAUCACAGCAGAUCGGAUGGUUGCUACAAGAGAAGGGUAUUGUUAGGGAGAGGGUUAGGAGGAUUGCAGACUACAUUGUGAUGAAGUGUAAUGAAUGCGAGGACAUGACCAGGUCCAUGUUCUUCGCUUCAGUUAUGAUUUUUGUCCGGCAGAUCAUGGAUGACCUAUUUUGCCUCCAAGAAGAUAUGGCGCAUAAGCCUACAGCGAGACCGACUGAUGUCCCGCUAGCCCCUAGAGCAGCAGUUGAGGCUCUCAUGUAUUUCUGAUUUUAUUGUUCGAGUCUAUAUUUUUAGUUUCUUUUUGAGUUCGUUAGUCCACUUUCGAGUCUUUAUUUUCAUCUUUCUUUUGGAGUAUGUUAAUCCACCUUUCGAGUCUAUUAGUUUUUAUGUUUAAUUCUGUAGGAAAGUCAUUGUAAUCAGGAUGUUUUUGUUUUUAUUUUAUUUUAUGAAAAUUUGAAUACACCAAAAAAUGUAUCUUUCUUUUAUUUUGCAUUUAUUCCCUGAACUACGUAAUGAUCUGAUUCAUGUGGCAUCAUGAUAUGUAGGCAAUCCCCAUAGGAUUCGAUCAUAACCAUAAAAUUAAAAGAAAAAAAGGAGAGAAAAUAAAAGGAAAUUGAGGGAAAAGAAAUAAUGGCAAAACAAAAGAGAAAAGCGAGCGCAAAAUAAAAGGAAAGUAACAAAAACAAGUGGGAAAGGCCAAUAGUGAUUAAAGAGGGAUUGGAGUAAAAAAAGAAGAGAAAGUGUAAAAUGAGAAGAGUUAGUUAAAAGUCGGGAUGAAGCAUGCAGCCGUUCAAAUACACGAUAAAAGCUUUAACUGUUUAGGUGCAUUGCAUCCCAAAUGUGUGGUUGCCUAUGUGUUAAAUCUUAAACACUAACAAGUUGUUGUUGUCAUUGAGGACAGGAAGGUGGUUAGUUUGUUUGGCAUUCUGGCAACUCAUCCGUAAAAUACCAAGUCUAAAAACAAGUUGAUCAUGGCUGGACAGGAACUGGACACAAGUAUUAUUGAUCCACCAAGAGAGGUGGAGGAGUCUGAGGUUGGUUUAAAAGAGGAGUUACAUAAGUUGAAACACCAGAUGGCCAAAAUGUACCAGACAUGGAUGAAAGGGCAUCCACUAUCAUCAUACCCCACCAACCCUGCUUUUAUCCCGUCACUAGCUCAAUCUCAAGAACAUCCCAGUGUUGAUUCAUCCCCACAACAUGCACCAAGCUUCACCCCUUACCACCACUAUCAUGUCACCACUUCCCAAACCAUACAAGCUCCACCGGCCAAAACAACCCCAUACCCCCUCCAUUAGCUACCCCUAUUUUUGUAGCACCUCCACCAGCUACACUCCAUCGAUCUUCCAAUGAGCCAUUAUUCCAGACCCAAGAUAAUUAGUACUAUCCCCCAAAUCCUACUUUAAAGGCCCCAGAUCAUUACUCCUACACUCCUCGUUUCGACCUCCCUGUUGAGACUGAGAAACCACCUAAAAACCCGAAAUAGGAGGAGAUGUUUAGAAAGGUGAGAAGCCUGGAAUAAUCGCUCAGAAACAUGCAAGGGUUGGGAGGUCAAGUAAGUGUAGCCUACAAAGAUCUGUGUUUGUUCCCUGACGUACAACUACAUGUUGGGUUCAAAAUGCCCAAAUUUGACUUGUAUGACGGGCACGGAGAUCUCGUGGCCCACUUAAGGGGAUUCUGCAGUAAAAUGAGAGGAGCCGGUGGGAAAGAUGAGUUGUUAAUGGCAUACUUUAGCCAGAGUCUGAGUGGCGCGGUAUUGGAGAGGUACACUCGUCAGGAUCACAACAGAUGGUAUACCUAGGAUGAUUUGGCCCAACCAUUCGCUCGUCAUUUCCAAUACAACAUCGAGAUUGUUCCAGAUCAUUUGUCUUUGACUAAGAUUGAGAGGAAGCCUAUUGAAAGUUUCAGGUAAUAUGGUUUCCGCUGGAGAGAACAGGCAGUAAGGGUUAACCCUCCAAUGGAGGAGAACGAAAUGGUGGAAUACUUUCUUCAGGCCUUGGAGCCUACUUACUUUGGUCAUCUGAUCUGGGUCAUAGGUAAGUAUUUCAGUGAAGUAGUAAAAAUGGGAGGAAUGGUAGAGGAAGGGCUCAAAUCAAGCAAGAUCAUGAGCUACUCUGCCAUCAAAGCAACUACACAGGCAAUCCAAAAUGGCACCAGAGGCAUUCUUGGGAAAAAGAAGAAAGAGGAUGUCGCUAUGGUCGUUUCAGGAUCAUGGCACAGCCCGGGGGAUUCUCCUACCCACUACACCCAACCUCGACCCCAGCUUCAAACCUAUACCCCAACUCCAUAUAAUCCAUCCCAACACUACUUCCCUUCACCAGAGCCUCAGUACUCAGUCAGGCCACCCCAAUAUCAUGUCCAUCAUGCACAGUCAUAUACUCAACCCCUUCCUCACCCGCAAUGACGUGCUCUAGCUCCAUGAAACCCUUAACCACCUCCACAAACAUACCAAAACCCUACUGGUCCAAAUUUUUGGGCCAAGCCGGAAUGAAAGGUUGCAGCGAAAGAAAACUUUCACCCCGCUUGGGGAAUCUUAUACCAACCUAUUUCAAAGGUUGAGGCAGUUGGAUAUUCUGAGGUCAAUUGAGUCAAAACUACCAAACCCCCUCCUAAGAACCUGGAUUAUUCUCUCAGAUAUGCGUAUUGUUCUGAUACUCCGGGACAUAACACAGAAAAGUGUUGGCAUUUGAAGAACGCUAUCCAAGAGCUCAUUGAUACGAACCAGAUUGUGGUCUAGAGCCCAAAAGCACCCAACAUCAAUCAGAACCCAUUACCAGCAUAUGCUGAAAUGCACAUAAUUGAGAUAGUGCACAAAUAUGGGAAGCCCAAAAAGCCUUCACAAUCUGUCAUGAUGAUCCGGUCUAGUGUAAGUAAGUUAGUCAAGGACCCGGUUGUCAUGAAAGCAACCUCUUCAAUAGCUGAAGGAUCGGCAGACAAGUUGAGCAUGCCAAAUGAUAAGCCAACUGUGGUAGUUGAAAAGAGGUCCCCAAGUGAUGUUGUAGAGAAGAAAGAAAAGCCAAAGGUGAUCGUGCCAGAGGUAGCAAGUAAGCCGGUCAUAAUUGUGGAGGGUGCUCGCACGGACCCUAUCAUUAUCAAACUUGUGACCCAGCUACCGAUAGCUAACACCAAGACUAUUCCAUAGAACUAUGAGCGAGUGAUAGUGACCUAUAAGGGGAAGGAAGUGAAAGAGGAAGUUAACGAGGACCAGGAAUUAACUUGUUCGGGGAGAUGCUUUUCCCUGGAAGAGUUAAGGAAAGCUAAAACACACAGAGACAAUCCAAUUCUAGUGAAGAAUCUGGUCACUAAAGAAGAAGCGGAGGAGUUUUUGAGAAAAAUAAAGGUACAAGAUUACUCCAUCGUGGAACAGUUGAGAAAGACUCCUGCUCAAAUUUCCCUGUUAUCAUUGUUGAUCCAUUCAAAUGAGCACCGCCGGGCCCUAAUGAAGAUUCUGAACGAAGCUCAUGUCCCCGACAAAAUCACAAUGAACCAUUUGGAGAAGAUUGCCAAUAAUAUAUUUGAGUCUAACAAGAUCACAUUCUCGGAUGAUGAUUUGCCUCUGAAAGGUACAGAACACAAUCGGGCCCUCUAUCUCACAGUGAAACGCGAAGAUUUUAUGGUCAUAAGUGUGUUAGUUGACAAUGGUUCCAGCAAAAACAUCUGCCUUCUCUCUACACUGAACAAGUUAAAAGUUGAUGAUAAGAGGAUUCACAAGAACAACAUAUGUGUUCGAGGUUUUGAGGGGGGGAAGACUCUGUUGGCGACAUCAUGCUCUAGUUGACAAUAGGACCAAUCGAAUUCACUAUGGAGUUCCAGGUACUGGAUGUGGUUGUUUCUUACAAUUUCCUGUUGGGAAGGCCUUGGAUACAUGUUGCCAAGGCGGUUCUGUCUUCGUUACACCAGAUGGUAAAGUUCAAAUAGGAUAGACAAGAAAUCUUCGUGCAUGGUGAUGAAAACUUAUGUGCUUUCAAUGAUACAUCCAUCCCGUUUAUUGAAGCUGAAGAAGAUAAGGGGUCGUGGGUCUAUCAAGUUUCCGAAACAGUAUCGGUUGAAAAGAUUCCGGAAGGGGAAUACAUUCCAAGUCCAAGGCUAGCUUCUGCAAUUAUCAUAGUAGCAACUGAAAUGUUGAAAAGUGGUUUUGUGCUGGGCAAGGGUCUGGGUAUAACUCUGCAAAGUAUCGUGCAGCCAGUGUCUUUGCGUGAAAAUCUGGGUACAUUUGGUCAGGGGUUCAAAACUAUAGGGGAUGAUAUGAAGGAGUCUAGAAAGCUAAAAAAGAAGGCAUGGUCGCUCCCUAAGCCAGUCCUACGUCUCUCCAGGUUUUUCAUCAAGGCACAGGUCGUGAAACGUCCAGUGACAACAGUUCCAAAGCCUGUGGUUGAUUUUGAUAAGGAAUUGGUUAAAAGGUUCCAGAGUCUGUUUGAUAAGGUAAACAUGGUAGAAACUGGGGAAGGUUCUGGAAAAGCGGAUAUGCAGUUUAUUAGGUCAAAAGUAAAGCUUAACAAUUGGGAUGACACUCAUCUCCCUUCCCAGAAGGAGUUUUGGUAGUUUGCUUUAUUUUCCUUUCAGUUAUCUGGAUUAUUCCAGGAUUGUAAUUCAAAUUUUUAUUUUUCGUCUGUUUAAUGUACAAACCCUUCUAUCCUUUAUUUUUAAUGAAAUGCAAUUUCCCUUUUCCAUUACUCCUGAGAGUGUCAUUUUCUUUUCUUUCUUUGUACAGUUCUUUUUAUGCUGGUUUCAAUGACAUGACAUGCAUGAGGAAUCUUCAGCCAAGUCUUAAAAGUCAAUCUAACUCUGAAAUAAUAAUCCAAGAAAUAGAGUGUGAUGAUGAAAUAGAAUAUGAUGAAGAGGAAGCAUUUGAGGAAAUUAGUAAAGAGCUAAGUCACUUUGAAGAGAAACCCAAGCGUAAUUUGAAUGAAACUGAAGCAAUCAAUUUAGGGGAUCCAGAUAACAUCAAGGAAACCAAGAUAAGUGUACACUUAGAACCACAAAUCAGGGAGGAAAUAAUCAAAGCCCUGUUUGAAUAUAAAGACAUUUUUGUGUGGUCAUAUGACGACAUGCCAGGUCUAAGUACUAACUUGGUGGUUCAUAAACUGUCCACUGACCCGACAUUCCCUCCCGUCAAGCAAAAGUUAAGGAAGUUCAAAACUGAUAUGAGUGUGAAGAUCAAGGAAGAAAUCACAAAGCAGUUGGACGUAAAGGUCAUUUGAGUCACGUGAUACCCCACUUGGUUAGCUAAUGUUAUGCCAGUGCGAAAGAAGGACGGCAAGACCAGGGAGUGCGUUGAUUACCGAGAUCUCAACAAAGCAAAUCCAAAGGAUAUUUUUCCAUUGCCAAAUAUCCACAUUCUGAUUGACAACUGUUCCAAGUAUGAGAUUGGGUCUUUUGUGGAUUGCUAUGCGGGAUACCACCAGAUCUUGAUGGUGAGGAGGAUGCAGAAAAGACAACAUUCAUCACACCAUGGGGAACUUAUUGCUACCAGGUAAUGCCAUUUGGUUUGAAAAACAUUGGGGCAACUUACAUGAGGGCAAUGACUACUAUGUUCCAUGACAUGAUACACAAGGAGAUUGAAGUUUAUGUGGAUGAUGUGAUCGUAAAGUCAAAGCAACAGGCCGACCAUGUCAAAGAUUUGAGGAAGUUUUUCCAAAGAUGCCGCAUGUAAAAUCUUAAGCUUAACCCUGUCAAGUGUGCAUUUGGUGUUCCGUCUAGAAAAUUGUUGGGAUUCAUAGUUAGUCAUUGAGGCAUUGAGUUGGACUCGUCGAAGAUCAAAGCUAUCCAAGAAUUGCCACCUCCAAGGAGCAAGACUGAGGUAAUGAGUCUGCUCGGGCGUUUAAACUACGUCAGCAGGUUUAUUGCUCAACUCACAACAACUUGUGAGCCCAUCUUUAUGUUGUUGAAGAAGAAUGAUGCGGUACAAUGGACUGAUGAGUUCCAGGAGACAUUUGAUAAGAUAAAGGGGUACUUGUCAAGCCCACACAUGUUGGUCCCACCGAAACCCGGGAUACCUUUGAUUCUCUAUUUGACGGUCUUGGACAAUUUAUUUCGGUUGUGUGUUGGGUCAACAUGACAUCACUGGAAGGAAGGAGCAAACCUUCUAUUAUCUCAGAAAGAAGUUCACAUCCUAUGAGGUUAAGUACACUCCCCUUGAAAGGACGUGUUUCGCCCGGACUUAGGUGACACAAAAGUUGAAGCAUUAUUUGUCAUCCUACACUACUUACCUCAUUUCUCAUCUAGAUCCUCUAAAGUAUAUCUUUCAGAAACCUAUGCCCACAGGAAGACUUGCAAAGUGGCAAAUUUUGCUCACAGAGUUUGACAUUAUCUAUGUAACUCGAACCACGAUGAAAGCCCAAGCAUUGACCGAUCAUUUGGCUGAGAAUCCGGUGGAUGAAGAGUAUGAGCCAUUGAGGACUUAUUUUCCUGAUGAAGAGGUGAUGCAUAUUGAUGAGGUGGAACAGGAUGACAAGCUAGGUUGGAAACUUUUCUUUGAUUGCGCCGCUAACAUGAAGGGUGUCGAAAUAAGGGUUGUGCUCAUUUAUGAAACAGGGCAUCACUACCCUGUUACAGCCCAGCUUCGUUUCUAUUGUACCAACAACAUGGCUGAGUACGAGCCAUAUAUUUUGGGAUUGAGGUUAGCGGUAGAUAUGGGAGUCCAGGAAGUCUUGUUAUUGGGAGACUCCGAUCUUUUGGUGCACCAGAUUCAAGGAGAAUGGGAGACUCGGGAUUUAAAGCUCAUACCGUAUCGACAAUGUUUGCAUGAUCUUUUCCAACAGUUUCAAUCGAUAGAAUUCAGGCAUAUUCCAAGGAUCCAUAAUGAGGUUGACGAUGCUUUGGCUACCUUGGAAUCAAUGUUGCACCAUCCGGACAAAGCUUAUGUUGACCCUCUACAUAUUCAAGUUGGUGAUCAGCAUGCCUAUUGUAAUGUGGUUGAGGAAGAACUUGAUGGUGAACCGUGGUUCCAUGAUAUCAGGGAAUACAUCAGGAUAAGGGUAUAUUCGGUACAAGCCAUAGGUGAUCAAAAGAGAACAAUUCGAUAUUUGGCUAGUGGAUUUUUCUUGAGCGUGGGGAUCUUAUACAAGAGGACUCCAGAUCUUGGGUUGUUGAGAUACAUAGAUGCUAAACAAGCCACGACUAUCAUGACAGAAGUGCAUUCCAGGGUUUGCGGGCCACAUAUGAGUGGGUAUGUUCUGGCAAAGAAAAUUCUUCGAGCAGACUAUUACUGGCUCACCAUGGAACGGGAUUGCAUCAGUUUUGUGUGCAAGUGUCAUCAGUGCCAGGCACAUGGAGAUUUGAUUCAUUCUCCGCCAUCUGAGUAGCAUACAAUGUCCGGAACGUGGCCCUUUGUUGAUUGGGGCAUGGAUGUCAUUGGACCAAUUGAGCAUGAGGCAUCAAACGGGCACAGGUUCAUUUUGGUGGCCAUCGAUUAUUUCACUAAGUGGGUUGAAGCUAAGACUUUCAAAUCUGUGACCAAGAAGGCAGUGGUCGAUUUUGUUCAUUCAAAUAUCAUUUGUCGAUUCGGAAUCCUAAAGGUAAUCAUCACAGAUAAUGGUGCUAAGCUUAGCAGUCAUCUGAUGAAAGAAGUAUGCCAGCAAUUUAAGAUCAUCCAGCGAAAUUCCACUCCAUAUCGCUCCAAGGCAUAUAGAGUUGUUGAGGCGGCCAACAAGAACAUAAAGAAGAUACUUCGGAAAAUGGUGCAAGGUUCCAGGCAAUGGCAUGAAAAGUUGCCCUUUGCUUUGCUGGGUUAUCGCACUAUUGUUCGCACUUUAGUAGGUGCAACUCCUUAUUUGUUGGUAUAUGGUACUGAAGCAGUGAUACCCACGAAAGUAGAAAUUCCAUCUCUUCGGAUUGUUGCUGAAGCCGAAAUUGAUGAUGAUGAGUGGGUCAAAACCCGUUUGGAGUAAUUAAGUCUGAUUGACGAGAAAAGACUGGCGGCAGUGUGUCAUGGCCAGUUGUAUCAAAAGAUAAUGGCAAUAACAUACAAUAAGAAGGUGUGUCACCGAAAAUUUUAAGUGGGUUAGCAAGUAUAGAAACACAUCCUUCCACAUCAGGCUGAAGCGAAAGGCAAGUUCGNNNNNNNNNNNNNNNNAGAGAAGAAAAAAAAAGAAAGAAAAGAAUGGAAAAAAGUAUAAAAAAGAAAAGAAAAAAGAAAAGAAAAAAAGAGAGAAAGAAAAAGAAAAAGAGAAAAGUAACAACAACAAAGUAAUUCCUAUGUCAUGAACUACGUUCGACCUGAUUCCUUUUAAGGAUACGUAGGCAGCCUCACGGUUCGAUCCCAUCAAAAUAAAAAUUCAAAAGCCCCCAAGCAAAAAACUGGGGCAGAAGUUGCGGUUUUAUAAAAGAUCUGAUUCCAAAAGUUGUAAUUUUGAACCCAUUGAAGUGGUUUUGAGCCUUUAUGAUAUCCUUUCUUUCUAACCAUAUCCAAAAAUCUGCAUUACGGUCCAAAAAAAGACCUUCCGACCAAUAUUUAAGAGUGCCACGUCAAGCGAGAUAGAGGUAUGAUUCGCAUCAGGGGCAACACUCCGAGCUGCACAAGGAAAAUGAAUAAUGAGAGAGUCCUAUUGGUGAAAACUAUCUCGGGCACCGUAGGGCGAUAGAAAGAUGAGAGAAAUCGAAAUGAGAAAGUCUUAUCGGUAAAGACCUUCACGGGCACCGUAAGGCAACAGUGAGUUGAGAGAUGAACAAAUGAGAGAGGUUUGUUGGUGAAAACCUUCAAGGCGCCGCAAGCCGAACAAGGUUUGUGACUUUGCAAAGAGAUUGAAAUAUGGAAAUCCCGGGGCAUAAAGUAUGAUAACUGAAAGGUGAUUGGUUGAACAAGUUGGGCUGAUAAAUCCAAAAUGCAUGACAUGAUCAUUUGUGCCAGCUGCCUCACUCAGAUAAGUCUCUUUUUCUUUUCCCUCUCAAACAGUCAUCCUGUUUCGAAUUUUCUUCUUUAUUCCUAACUCUCGAAGUCAUUGCAUUUCAUUUCUUUUGGGUUUAUUUCUCUAAGGAUUUUCCAAUGUCAGACUUGUUUAAGCAAGUAAGGAAGGAUUUAAAGCUUUCUACCAACUUCCAAAUUGCACAAAGCAAAGUGCGGCCAAAACAUACCAGAAAUAGCAUGAUGCAAAAUGGAAAACAAGGUGUUACUAAAAGUUCCAUUGGUCGAGUGGUUUGUGAAUUUUGUGGAAAAUACAGAGGUUCAAAUUAGGAGAACUGAAAUAUGAAACAACAGGUUGAGUGUAGGGCACUUGAGUCAUUCAGGGCCUUGUGUUUGAGGUUCAGUCAGAAGGUCAAACAAUUCUUUGCUAGUACAUGGCAGUCAGUCAGAACAAAGCACAGCAGUGGAAAGGCCACCUUCAGCAAGAAUGCCACAAACUAACCACCACAUUUUCAAACUAAUAAAAUUUUCUUUGAUUGAAACAGGGGCAGGAAAUUUUGUUUAUUCCGGAAGAACACUCUGUGAGGAAAGCAUGUACCGGACAGGUUCAACCAUAAAUCUUCAGGACCCUCCUGGAUAACGGGGUUUAAUUUAAAAUUUUUAGGACCCUCCUAGAUAAUUGUAUUUGAUUUAAAGUUCUCAGGACCCUCCUAGAUAAUGGAACCUAGUUAAAUUUCAAAACCUUCAUAGAUAACAAGAUUUAACGUAAAUUCUACCUUUGAAAAAUAUAAUUUAGCUUUAAAGUUGUCACUCUUAAGAUGAGAUUUAAUUUGAAGUUUUCAGGGCCCUCCUGAAUAAUGGGAUUUAGCUUUUAAAUUCUUAUAGCUCUUUUGAUAACAUGAUUCGAUUAACACUCACAUAUGUGCCCAGAUACAAAACUGGGCCAGAAAAGUUUUUUUUUGUUUAUUUUGUUGUAAUCAGGCACCCACCUAGAGAACAAGGAAUACAAUUCAAGUUUUGGUAAUCAGGCUCCCACCUAGAUAACAGGGGAAUACAAUUCAAGUGUUGGUAAUCAUGCGCCCACCUGGAGAAUAAGGGAAUGCAGUUCAAGUUUUGGCAAUCAGGCGCCCACCUGGAGAACAAGGGAAUACAGUUCAAGUUUUGAUAAUCAGGCGCCCACCUAGAGAACAAGGAAAUACAGUUCAAGUUUCGGCAAUCAGGCACCCACCUGGAAAACAAGGGAACUCAUUUCAGAAUCCAAUUCGAGUUAGCAACAAUACAAGCUCUCCUUGAGAGUACGAGCCAGCAAUUCAAGAUGCACCGCAGAGCUACAAAGGAUUCAAGAUCAAGUUUUGAAGACAUAUGGAUAGGAACUUUGUAACUCAUAGCUGAUAGGCUUAGUUAGUUCUUUUAGAUGUUGAUGUAAUAACAGGACCACGGACCGGAACCUCCACGAAACGGCACCCUACUCGACUCUCCAACUCAUCCUUCCAUCAUUUUCUAGAACUACAUUGACAUGAUUGCUUUAUAGCCAACGAUAUGUAGGCAACCUCGAAAGCAAGAUUUGGUCAGAUCUUUCAAAAAUUCUUCCCAUGGAGUAUCCAAACGGGCAAAAAUCGCUCGUAUCCGCUCAUUUUAUCUUUGCCCGAAAACUCUUCUUAUUUUCGAGCAAAAAGGGGCAUCUGUGAGCAUGUGAUUUUUUCCAUAUGUAAAAUACUCCUACAAAUUAAAGAAAUAGAUUUUUCCCCAAUUGUUUGCAAUUUUCUAGGAUUUUUGUUUAUUGUUUGCAUUUGUGUGCAUGUUUACUUUUUAUUAAAAUCAUGAAAAAAUACCAAAAAUACCAUGCAUUGCAUUUAGAUUUUGUGUUCACAUUUUGGGAUUAAUUAAUUAAUUAAUUGCUUAAUUAAAAAUGAAAAUUACAAAAAAGGCUCAUUUUUACAUUUUUGCCUUUAAUUCUAGAUCAGUAGUUUUUCCCUUGUAAUUAGGAUUAAUUAAUUUUUAUAAAUCUUAUAAUUUGAUAAUUAGUUUGAUUUUACAACUUAGACCAAUUUAGGGUUUAAUUUAGGAUUUUUAUUAAUUAAAUAAACAGAAAAGAAAAAUAAAAGAAAAGGAUUAAAAAAAGAAGGAAAAGAAAGAAAACAUGGUUCUAAAUUCAAAUUGGGCUGACAUUUUAGCCCAAUUCUUACACCAAAUCCGCCCAAAUACAUCCCUUACCUAGCCCAAAACGCCUCAACCCGCCCAGCCAACCGGUUCGACCCGCCCCGCUUUCCCCAAAUAUAAGAUACAUAUUAUAAACAAAGACCCAACCCUAAAUUUUGCUCCCAAAUGGCACCCAGCACUAUUCAUCAUCUUCUUUACCCCAAAUCGGUCCCAACUCGCCUGAAACUCAGGCAAAUUCACUCACACACGGGCCCCAUCUCACCACGUCACCAAGAUUCUAACGGCUUCUGACAAAUUUCCUCUCCCAUGUGUUGGACGCGUUUGGGAAUUUCUGAUGGAUGAAUUCCGUAAAAUGGGAGUCGUGGAUUGGUUUUCGGAUCAAUCAUUUCCUUCCACCUGUCCGGAUUCGUUCUAAAAAGGAUUUUUUCGGAGUUCUUGAAGAAAAAAAGAGAAACUUCGAGAGAGGGGUAUACAUACCCAGGUCUGGUUUCAGGUUGAGGGGGUGGGAUUUUUUUAAGGCAUAGGUCAUUUGAGAAAAUUAGGAUUCUAGAAAAAGCUUCUCUUCUUCUCUU
rnacentral:lncRNA from 1 species